rfam:Hordeum vulgare subsp. vulgare, WGS project CAJW01000000 data, contig: morex_contig_41630
UGUAUACUCCCUCCGUCCUAAUUUUUUUUGUCUUAGGUUUGUUUAAAAAUAAAUGUAUUAAAAUACUAAUACAUGACUAGAUACAUUCAUAUCUAAACAAAUCUAAUACAACAAUUUUGGAACGGAGAGAGUACAAU